rnacentral:rRNA from 1 species
UACGGGGGGAGCAAGCGUUGUUCGGAUUUACUGGGCGUAAAGGGCGCGUAGGCGGUCAGCACAAGUCAGUUGUGAAAUCUCCGGGCUUAACUCGGAAAGGUCAACUGAUACUGUGCGACUAGAGUGCAGAAGGGGCAACUGGAAUUCUCGGUGUAGCGGUGAAAUGCGUAGAUAUCGAGAGGAACACCUGCGGCGAAGCGGGUUGCUGGGCUGACACUGACGCUGAGUGC